rnacentral:rRNA from 1 species
CCUACGGGGCGCAGCAGCGAGGAAUAUUGGUCAAUGGACGCAAGUCUGAACCAGCCAUGCCGCGUGAAGGAAGAAGGCUUUCGGGUUGUAAACUUCUUUUCUCAGGGACGAAGAAAGUGACGGUACCUGAGGAAUAAGCCACGGCUAACUACGUGCCAGCAGCCGCGGUAAUACGUAGGUGGCAAGCGUUAUCCGGAUUUAUUGGGUGUAAAGGGCGUGUAGGCGGGAACGCAAGUCAGAUGUGAAAACUCAGGGCUCAGCCCUGAGCCUGCAUUUGAAACUGUGUUUCUUGAGUGCUG